rnacentral:rRNA from 1 species
GACGAACGCUGGCGGCGCGCUUAACACAUGCAAGUCGAGCGAGAACCUGGGCUUCGGCCCUGGGGACAGCGGCGAACGGGUGAGUAUCACGUGGGUAAUCUGCCCUCGGCAUCGGGAUAGCCCGGGGAAACCCGGAUUAAUACCGAAUAGCCUCCGGAGCCUUCGGGCGCCGGAGAACAGGUAGCUUCGGCCUCUGGCCGAGGAUGAGCCCGCGGCGGAUUAGCUUGUUGGCGGGGUAACGGCCCACCAAGGCGGCGAUCCGUAGCUGGUCUGAGAGGACGAUCAGCCACACUGGGACUGAGACACGGCCCAGAAUCCUACGGGAGGCAGCAGUGGGAAUCUUGCGCUAAUGCGGGAAACCGUGACGCAGCGACGCCGCGUGGGGGAAGAAGGCCUUCGGGUUGUAAACCUCUUUCAGGAGGGACGAAGCUACUCGGGUUAAUAGCCCAGAGGGUGACGGUACCUCCAGAAGAAGCCCCGGCUAACUACGUGCCAGCCGCCGCAGUAA